rnacentral:rRNA from 1 species
AGUCGAGCGGUAGCACAGAGAGCUUGCUCUCGGGUGACGAGCGGCGGACGGGUGAGUAAUGUCUGGGAAACUGCCUGAUGGAGGGGGAUAACUACUGGAAACGGUAGCUAAUACCGCAUAACGUCGCAAGACCAAAGUGGGGGACCUUCGGGCCUCAUGCCAUCAGAUGUGCCCAGAUGGGAUUAGCUAGUAGGUGGGGUAACGGCUCACCUAGGCGACGAUCCCUAGCUGGUCUGAGAGGAUGACCAGCCACACUGGAACUGAGACACGGUCCAGACUCCUACGGGAGGCAGCAGUGGGGAAUAUUGCACAAUGGGCGCAAGCCUGAUGCAGCCAUGCCGCGUGUGUGAAGAAGGCCUUCGGGUUGUAAAGCACUUUCAGCGGGGAGGAAGGCGAUAAGGUUAAUAACCUUGUCGAUUGACGUUACCCGCAGAAGAAGCACCGGCUAACUCCGUGCCAGCAGCCGCGGUAAUACGGAGGGUGCAAGCGUUAAUCGGAAUUACUGGGCGUAAAGCGCACGCAGGCGGUCUGUCAAGUCGGAUGUGAAAUCCCCGGGCUCAACCUGGGAACUGCAUUCGAAACUGGCAGGCUAGAGUCUUGUAGAGGGGGGUAGAAUUCCAGGUGUAGCGGUGAAAUGCGUAGAGAUCUGGAGGAAUACCGGUGGCGAAGGCGGCCCCCUGGACAAAGACUGACGCUCAGGUGCGAAAGCGUGGGGAGCAAACAGGAUUAGAUACCCUGGUAGUCCACGCUGUAAACGAUGUCGAUUUGGAGGUUGUGCCCUUGAGGCGUGGCUUCCGGAGCUAACGCGUUAAAUCGACCGCCUGGGGAGUACGGCCGCAAGGUUAAAACUCAAAUGAAUUGACGGGGGCCCGCACAAGCGGUGGAGCAUGUGGUUUAAUUCGAUGCAACGCGAAGAACCUUACCUGGUCUUGACAUCCACAGAACUUUCCAGAGAUGGAUUGGUGCCUUCGGGAACUGUGAGACAGGUGCUGCAUGGCUGUCGUCAGCUCGUGUUGUGAAAUGUUGGGUUAAGUCCCGCAACGAGCGCAACCCUUAUCCUUUGUUGCCAGCGGUCCGGCCGGGAACUCAAAGGAGACUGCCAGUGAUAAACUGGAGGAAGGUGGGGAUGACGUCAAGUCAUCAUGGCCCUUACGACCAGGGCUACACACGUGCUACAAUGGCAUAUACAAAGAGAAGCGACCUCGCGAGAGCAAGCGGACCUCAUAAAGUAUGUCGUAGUCCGGAUUGGAGUCUGCAACUCGACUCCAUGAAGUCGGAAUCGCUAGUAAUCGUAGAUCAGAAUGCUACGGUGAAUACGUUCCCGGGCCUUGUACACACCGCCCGUCACACAAUGGGAGUGGGUUGCAAAAGAAGUAGGUAGCUUAAC